rnacentral:ncRNA from 1 species
AUAAAGUUUUAUUUUAGCUUAAAGAUUUAUUAUUAAUUAAUUUUAUAUGUAAAUUUUUGUGUGAAUUUAAUAUAAUUUUAAAAAUUAUAUUUUUUUUAUUAUUCGCAGUAAUUAAUAUUAUUAAUUGAAGAAAUUUAGAAAUAGUUAUAUUAAAAAAUAUUGGUUAAAUUUGUGCCAGCAGCCGCGGUUAUACAAAUAAUAUAAAUAAAUUUUAUUAGUUUAAGUUAAAUUAAUUAUUUAUAAUUUUUAAAUAUAAAUUUAUUAGGUAAAAUUUUAAAUUUAUUAAAUUUUUAAAUUAAAUGUUAUUAAAGCUUAGAAAUUUUACUUAAAAACUAGGAUUAGAUACCCUAUUAUUUAAAAUGUAAAUUUACACUAAAGUAGUAUUAGAUAUGUUCUUGAAAUUUAAAAAAUUUGGCGGUAUUUUAGUCUAUUUAGAGGAAUCUGUUCUAUAAUCGAUAUUCCACGAUGGACCUAACUUAAAUUUGUAAUCAGUUUAUAUACCGUUGUUAUAAGAAUGUUUUAUAAGAAAAAUAAUUUUCUUAAAUUUUUAUUAAAAUUUAUAUCAGAUCAAGGUGUAGCUUAUAUUUAAGAAGAAAUGGAUUACAAUAAAAUUAUUUUUUGGAUAUAAAUUUGAAAUAAUUUAUUGAAAUUGGAUUUAAAAGUAAAAUUAUAAAGAUUAAUAAUUUGAUUUUAGCUCUAAAAUAUGUACACAUCGCCCGUCGCUCUUAUUAUUAAGGUAAGAUAAGUCGUAACAUAGUAGAUGUACCGGAAGGUGUAUCUAGAAUGA